AUUGAACGCUGGCGGCAGGCCUAACACAUGCAAGUCGAGCGAGCGGCGGACGGGUGAGUAAUGUAUGGGAAACUGCCUGAUGGAGGGGGAUAACUACUGGAAACGGUAGCUAAUACCGCAUACUAUCAGAUGAGCCCAGAUGGGAUUAGCUAGUAGGUGGGGUAAUGGCUCACCUAGGCGACGAUCCCUAGCUGGUCUGAGAGGAUGACCAGCCACACUGGAACUGAGACACGGUCCAGACUCCUACGGGAGGCAGCAGUGGGGAAUAUUGCACAAUGGGCGCAAGCCUGAUGCAGCCAUGCCGCGUGUAUGAAGAAGGCCUUCGGGUUGUAAAGUACUUUCAGCGGGGAGGCGUUACCUGCAGAAGAAGCACCGGCUAACUCCGUGCCAGCAGCCGCGGUAAUAC
rnacentral:rRNA from 1 species